GACGAACCGUGCGAACGUUGUUCGGAAUCACUGGGCUUAAAGGGCGCGUAGGCGGGCGAUCAAGUCAGGGGUGAAAUCCGUCGGCUUAACCGGCGAAGUGCUUUUGAUACUGGUCGUCUCGAGGGAGGUAGGGGCAUACGGAACUUCCGGUGGAGCGGUGAAAUGCGUAGAGAUCGGAAGGAACGCCGGUGGCGAAAGCGGUGUGCUGGACCUCUUCUGACGCUGAGGCGCGAAAGCCAGGGGAGCAAAGCGGG
rnacentral:rRNA from 1 species